UACAGAGGCCUCGAGCGUUAGGCGGAAUCACUGGGCUUAAAGCGUGUGUAGGCGGACUUCUAAGUGCCUUGUGAAAUCCCACGGCUCACCCGUGGAACUGCUGGGCAUACUGGGAGUCUUGAGCCACCUAGGGGCGAGCGGAACAAAUGGUGGAGCGGUGAAAUGCGUAGAUAUCAGGAGGAACACCGGUGGCGAAGGCGGGUCUCUGGGCAGUAACUGACGCUGAGGAGCGAAAGCGUGGGGAGCGAACAGG
rnacentral:rRNA from 1 species